GUAUAUGGAUAUGGAAAAUAUAAGAUUUCCGAUCCUAGCGGGAAAAGGCGGGGAACAGAUACCCAAUAGGAUAUAGGAUCCUUGGGAGAAACUUUUCGUAAUGGCCUGGACCUCUAUGCUAUUUUUUAUGUGUUCUUAGUUCUAUUGAACUUUUUUCAUUCUUUUAAACAAGAAUCUAAUAAACUAGAAUUGAGUCAGUGGAAAAAAGGAGAGAGAGGAAAGUGUUAA
rnacentral:rRNA from 1 species